CGCAAUCAGAGUCGCAACGCUGCCUCGCGCUCGCGCCCUCGCCUGAAUCUCGCAGCGCACGCACGCGUCGCCGUCGCCCCCAACGGCGUCGUGCCUCCCCCGUCAGCCGUCGGCGUCAUCCCCCGCGGCCCCGCGUGCUCUCGCCGUCUCGCGCUCUGUUGUGUGGCCUGCGGGCAGCACCGCAGCAGCCGCUGUCGGCGCCGGCCGCCGCUGCGCUGCGCGCCUGCCGCUGCCGGGCGGCGGGCUGCACCGCUGCCUGAGUCAGGCGGCCGGCAGGUCGACAGCAGCCAGCCAUAGCGGCAUAGGCAGCACCAGCACCCAGGACCAGCAGGCACAACUCGACAGCACUGACCAAAUUGAGGAAACUUCUCUCCGAAAUCGCAAUUCCCAAAUGCAUACGAAGAUUAUUGGCACUGACAUGAGUAAUUGCCAAUUGGUGUUAUAGUUUGCACAAUGAAGAGGAGCAAGACUUUGCAAUUUUAUUUUGCACGUGUCCCCCCCCCCCCUGCGACACAACAGAAUGCAGAUGAAGUGGAUGAAGUCUCAUUUGAAGAAGUUCACUGUGUUCGGCUGCUCUCUAGCCCUCCAGCGCUACAGUUUUUCCCUCUCACAUUCUUCCAGCUCCAGCCUCCAGCCACCAGUCAGGAGGUGCCGAUAGCGAUGAGGAAAUGGAAGAUGCGACCGAAUGGAACGCGCCAAAUCUUGGCUACCUGACUAGGAUCCCAAGUGUACUAGCGUCCACGGUACCGGUCAAUUCUUCAGUCGCGUUCCAGCGAAGCCAAGGACAAACAUUUAUCAGAUUAUUUGCAAUACUUGGGUGUGCUUAGUUGGUGAAAAAGUUUAAGUUUGGAUACUGUAGCAUAUUUCGUUGUUAUUUGAUAAUUAAUGUCCAAUCAUGAUUUAAUUAAUAUUGUUAGAUUCAUCUCGUGAGAAUCAGUCAGACUGUAUAAUUAGUUAUUUCGUUUAACUACAUUUAAUACUUUAUAUAUGUAUCUAAAAAUUCGAUGUGAUGGAUAUUGUAGG